UAGGUAGAGCAACUGACUUGUAAUCAGUAGGUCACCAGUUCGAUUCCGGUAGUCGGCACCA
rnacentral:tRNA from 1 species